UUAAAGGAGAUUAUUUUCUUUUCCCGAAACCUAAAACCUAAUCUCUCCUUUUCUCCCCACGCACGCGACGCCAUUUUCUUCUCUCGGGCGAAACCGCAGCCAAGGCUAGGGUUCCUCCCUCCGGCGUCGGCGACGUGCUUUUCCGGCCGGUUUUCACUCGUGGGUGACCAUUCCGACAAGGAGAACUCGGGAGAUACAAGGAACCGGUAGAAUCGAAGCUCCACCGAAACCCUAAAGCAUUUCCCUUCGGUUGUAAGUCCAAGAACCCGAUAUAAAGGUAAAGAUAAAGGAAAAGCUAAAGUAUGAAAGGAAGGCGACAAGGAGCUGAUGGAGGUGUGAUGUGUGGACUAUGGAAGCCUUGGGACUAAGUUUUAGAAAUCUAUAAAGACUUGUAUUUAGACUAUUGGAGUUUUUGCCACCAUGUGAUGAUUUGGUUUAGCUUCUUAGAUGUUUUAUGUUUUAUAUUUAUUAGAACUGCGUGGUUGUUUGUUUAAUAUGAUUGUUAUAUAUGUAUC